ensembl:lncRNA
UGCUGGCGAGGCCUGAGGUGUCUGCAGAGCUGGAGUUACCUGCUGCUGCUGCAGCGGUAACGCUGCUAGAGGUGCCUGACUGUCGGCGUUAUUUAAUCCCAUGGCGCCUUAGUAGAUGGCCGGAAAGAUUCGUUGUGUUUCCGUGUUUUUUUAUUUGGCUUCUACAUAUUCUACAAACAGCGCCCGACUUAUUUAGAACACCUCCGUGUUUGCAAAAGCCAAAAUGUUUCCACACGCUGGAUCGAUAAGAUGGUUUGUAAAUGUCUCGCUCGCAGUCGUCUCCUCCACGCUGUGUUUUGUUGUUGUUCCGAGUUUUGCGCGGCUGCGUACUGAUGACGUCAGAGACAGGCAGACUGAAUCGAUUAACGUUUAACGUGUCUAAAGUGUUAAAAAACAAACAAACAAACACACAUCCAUACCGUUUUUGUACUUAAAUCCAAUGUGCAGUUUCCAAGUAUCGAUACAAUCAAUUAUGUACCAUUUCAAUCGAUUUGUAAUUGAUAUAUGUCGUCCGGAAUGCCGAUUUGCAGAGCACAGAUCGAUUUAGUUGGAUCGCCGGAAUAUAAAUCGAUUAAUCAAUUCAGUGAAUGAAUCGUUACACCCCUAGUGACCAGACAUCUAGAUUUAGGCCGGACCGUCUGCCAGGCCGGCACAGCAUGCUGGAUGUGUAUUUGUCCUCCUUUUUAGAGUUUCACCCAAAUAUGUGACAGGCUUAGGUCAGGUUGAACCCUAUGUCAUUGGUUAAGAACGUAAUCAAGGCUCCGUGUGCUGGUCAUGUCAUAUCAACCCUGCUGACUACAGAAAGUCAACACAUAGCAGAAAACACCAAGACGUCGGUCAACCCAGAAUGGACAAAAGAACUUGAUUUUGUUUCAAAAACCAGUCAAGACUCCUUUCAUGUGGCUGUUCUCUGUGGCUGUGAUGUUGACAUUGGCUGCCAUUAAAAGACAUGCAGGAAUAGAGAAGAAAAUUAGCAGGUAUCUUCACUCAAAACAUUAUUUCGAGAAGGUAUGUCGCCGUUGGAUAACAAAAUCGCCGCUGCUGAACUGCUAAAGGUUUGCCAUGCACCCAUCAUCCCCUCACAGCCUCACAAAAUACUGCAUAAUGUCCUCCUUUUUGGUGUUAUGGAUAUGGUCACCCUACAUGAAGAUAACACCCAGAGCCAGCUAUGUUUAAAUGUGUCAGACAUAGGCAUAUUUUAACCAAUGAGAGGCAACAACGCUCCAUGUUGAAAUGUAUGAAUCUUCAUUCAUGGUCCUCGAGCUGGAGCAAACUGGACUGUGGCACAACCACAAUUUUAUCCGUGUCUGAGGUACUUUAUUUUGCAUUACAUUUUUCAUUCUCUCCUUAAGAUACAAGUCAAAUUUGUGCAACAAUUAAACCAGAUUUUCAGUUUCCAAGAUGGAAAACAAACAUUGCUCUCAAAAACAUGACAUAUUUACGAUAGUAUAAUGUCCAGAUGGUCUGAAUGCAUCGCCAUCGCUCUGACAAUGGAACGAUCUGGCGAUGAAUGUCAGGAAGACCCAGGUUGAUGUAGGGCAGUCCCCUGAUGGCUGAUUGCCUCAGCUGUUCCAGCCACACCCUCCGAGGAAGACCAGGAGAAGGCCACACCUCCUUGCUGACAGACAAGGUAAAAACAGGCAAAGCAAAGAAAAAUCAGAGGGGGGCUGCUGGACUGACAGCUGACAGCAUGACAGAUUGUGGAGUUCAACAUUAGCUUGUUUAGCUUCUUUACGGUAGCCCUCUGCUAUUCGGGAUUUCAAGACACAAAAACAGCUCAAGUGUAAC